ACUAAUCUACUACCCCAGUAGAUUAUAUAUUACUAAUCUAAUAAUUUUAGUAACAUGAUUUAUUCAAAAUCAAAGUUUCUUAAUUGGUUGUCUGUUUACGUACCAUGUGACAGUGGAUCGAUACUUUACUCUUAAAAUGUACAGUGAAAUGAGCUUAUACUUUGUGUAGUAGUAUAUGAAGUACUAAGUAGAACUAUGAGGCAACUUCGAUGGAAUCCAGUCUCUAAAUUGGCAGAAUUUAUUUAAUUAAAGGGUCAAGUUUGGUCAUUGACUUAAAUUUAUUUAACUAUACGAAAACUUAGUAAUGUAUUACUCCAAAAAUAUACAGUAAAAGUAACGGAUAUUUGCUGUAGUAGAACAGGAGUUAUCAAAGGGCAAAGUUCAGCUACUGGUGUCAGUUGAACUUACUGAAUGAUACUUUAUGCAUUAUUUAAAAACUAUGCAGUAAAAUAAGUUGAUAUUUCCUGUGGUAGUAGUCUAUAAAGUACUAGUUAGUGAUGUCCCGAUUUGAGUAAUUUAUUCAAAUCCAAGAUUUAGAAAAGAGGCAAAUUGCCUCUUUAUAUUUUCCAUUAGUGAAUAUAUUUAGACAUUCACUGUAAAUUCUGUAAUUUCUUAAAUUUAAUUCAUUUCCUUGCAACAUUUAUCUUAAUAUCGCCCCAGAUGCUCCUAAAAGUGAGAGUCUCGGCUUUUCUCAGUGAUCGCAACAGUUACCGUAACUAUAGCACGAAUCGCGCACCUUGAAUAUAGCGACGGCUCAUUUGACCACGGAAAAGUAAACGGGGUUCAUUUGACCGUGGUGACACACCGGAGCAAACGGCAACUGUAGCUUGUUUGAUCCUUUCGGGGACAGUCCACCAGAUGACGCAUUUCAAACAGUUCUAACAAGAAUGGAAACCCUUAAACGCUGUCUGGAGUGCUCAAGAGGGAGGUUGAUGGAUGCAACAGCAGUACAAGACAUGCUUGAAAACAUUGAGAAAUAUUCAGGAGGUCAAGGAAAUGCAACAGGGGGCUCAACAAGUGCUUAUAGACACAAGCUGUUACGGCGAUAAAGAGGCACGUCAUGGCUGGACUGUCAUGCGAGGUGGUGUCAGCAAAAGUAAAACUCACAAGUCAUAGAGUCAAUUGACUCUCUGCAUAUUCGUUGAACCGAGGGCUGCUUGAAGUGCUGUUUCUGUUGUAAUAGAGGUGAGGUCAGGAAAAUAACUUUUCUUAAAUAUGACAUAUAUAGAUGCUUCAGUCGAACAAGUCUGUCACAAACAAGUAAUUCCUUUUCCAAGAGAUGUGUUUUGAUCAUUUAUCAUUAUCAAACAUGUGAUCACAUGACUUUUACUGGCUAAUGAAUUAUGCCUUCUACAUUAAACAAUUACUGUCUUUUUGUCCUCUACAGAUUAACGUGCACAUGCAUCAUAGACCAGAAGCACAAGUGGCCAUUGGUUUUAAUGCUGUCAACUAGGGCUCAAGCAUGCAUUAAAGAGUCCAUUUACCUAAGAUGAUGUGGUUGUUAUUGCUCCUGAUACAAAGUUUUCUGUGUGUACACUUAAUGUCACUUUUCACAAAGACAAAUUCUGUAACAUCUGUUGUCUCUGUUUGAUUAUAGCAGGUAAUGUUUAUAUUAGUGUUUAGAAAGAUAAAAGAAGGUACAGUACUGGGUUGUAUAGCACCGACGCCUGUGUGGUCACGUGUAACACUUGACUGUAUUUCAAAUAGAUUUCAGUAUUCCCCAGUAAAUAAAAAAAACUCUACAAAUGUCCA
rnacentral:lncRNA from 1 species